rnacentral:tRNA from 1 species
UUCAUCGACCGGGAAUCGAACCCGGGCCGCCCACGUGGCAGGCGAGCAUUCUACCACUGAACCACCGAUGC